GGGGAUAUAGCUCAGUGGUAGAGCAUGCGACUGCAGAUCGUAUGGUCCCUGGUUCGAUCCCGGGUGUCCCCU
rfam:Parastrongyloides trichosuri strain KNP genome assembly, scaffold: PTRK_scaffold0000016